AGAACUCUUUAGCGCUGCGGACGAAUCUGACCACGCGUGCGCUUCCUCUUUCCUUUUUCGCGUCCGGCGUCCUUUCCUGUCCUGGCCACACCUUUUCCCUUUCUUUUUUCAGUUUUUUUAUUUCUCAAGGUCCCUUCCGCCUCCUCCAGACCCCUCUGCAUCCCUAAAUCUCUCCAUCUCGGCAUCCUUCCCAAAAUCCUCCUCUUCCUUCGGUUCUCCCUUCCGUCGAGAUCCCCCGGCGUUUCGCCGUGAUCCUCUGGCUACAGCACGAGACCUCCGUGGUGGUGAGAGACCCUGGCGUCGGGCCUCCCAGCAGCACCGAGAGGUUGGCCGCGGCGACGCGAGACGUCGGUGUCUGGCUUCCGCGCAGCCCCACCGGACCUAUAAGUUGCAGCCUCGAGGUUGAAAGCUCAACGACAGGGAUCGUAGCGCUUUUUUGGCUGGAUUGGAGGCACAUGGUUAGAUUUGUGAGCUGAUUUGUUAUUGAAUCAGGUUAUUUGGGUGGAAUUAGUCUAAUCUGAUCAUACAAAGGGUUAGUACCUGCUGCCAUUUUUCAGUACUACAAAACUGUUAUUGGGGAUGAGAUUGUUUUGUGAGUUCGGGUGAUGGUGUAGACAAGAGAUGGCUUACAUUUUGUGGUGCUCUGAAUAUUAAAACUGGGCCUAGAUUUAUCAAGAAUUUCUGUACAGUUGUGUCACCUCACAAUUAUUUAUGUGGUCCUCUGAAUGUUUAACGAAAGCAUUUGUGUAUGAUAAAUUAAAUUCAAGAUUGAUAAUAAAAGAUCCGACUGGAUUUUCAGCUCGUCA